rnacentral:rRNA from 1 species
UUUAUUAAUGUUAGAAUACGCUAUGUUUUGUCCAAAAACAAAUGGCACUAACUCAUAUAUCAGGAUGAGAUAGGUGUAUUCCAGUUAUGGUUGGAAAAAUCUUGGAAUAACAUUUCCAACGCAACCAAGUCUUCAUAAUUUCAAGUUCGUAUGAGUAAGUUAUUCCCUUUGGAAUUUGGUUGUUUUGAAUAAGGAAAUGUCCAAUAGGGAUUUUAGAAGGGUAGUUUGGGUUUUUCCUUAUCGUUUUAUUUUAAUUUUUAUAGUAAUUAUUUAGUGGUCAAACUGAACUUAUUUAGUUUAUGCAUUAGAAAAACAGACAUAGGAUUUUUUGAGAAAGCAUCACUAGCUUAUGCUCUGAUUCGAGUAGCAUGGGGCACGUGGAAUCGCCUGUGAAUCAACAAGAACCACCUUGCAAGGCUUAAUACUCUUGGGUGACAUAUAGCGAAGUAGUACCGUGUGGGAAGGGUGAAAAUAACACCCAUUAGGGAGUUAAAUAAAACAUUAAACCGUAAGUUCCCAAGUAGUGGGACAAGCCAGGGCUAUGACCAUGUGCGUGUUGAAGAAUUAGACAACUACUCAUAGGUUGUAUCUUUGUUAAGGGAACCACCGGAGCCGUAGCUAAAGCGAGUCUUCAUAAGGCAAUGGUCACUACUUAUAGACCUGAAUCUGGGUGAUCUAUCCAUGAUGAGGAUGAAGCUUGUGUGAAACUAAGUGGAGGUCCAAACCAACUGAUAUCGAAGAAUCAGCGGAUCAGUUGUGUUUAGAGGUCAAAUGCCACUUGAACCCAGAGCUAGCUAGGUUCUCCCCAAAAUGUGUUGAGGCGCAACAUUUAGCUUGAUAUCUAGGGGUAAAGCAUUGUUUUGGUGUGGGCCGCGAAUGUGCUACGAAAUCCAGGGAAAAUGUGAAUACUAGAUGUGAUCUAAAAUAACACGGUCAAGGUCGUCUAGUGAGAUGAUGGGGGAUAAGCUUCAUCAUCGAAAGGCAAACAGCAUCGAUUACUAGGUAGGACCCAUAAAUGACUACUUAGUGACAAAGGAGGUAGGGUUGUAGAGACAACCAAGAGGUUUUCUAGAAAGAGUGUGUAAUAGAUCACUGAUCGAGCGCUCUUGCACUGAAGAUGAGCUGGGCUAAGAGGUAUGCCGAAGCUGUGGAUGUAAAAAUACGUCGUUAGGGUAGCACUCCCCCUUAGAAAAAAUUCUUCCCUCGAUCUGUGGUUGAGGAAGCGAAAGCGAGAUUUUUACUUCGGUGACGUAAACAUUGGUGAGAAUCCAAUGCUCUAAAAAGCUAAGGGUUUCUCUGCAUGGUUCGUCCAUGGACGGUGAGCCAGGGCCUAAGAUAAGGCCUAAACACAUAGUCGAUGGACAACAGGUGAAUAUUCCUAUACUACCCCUUGUUCGUCUUGAGGAACGGAGAGGAGUAGGUUAUCGAAAAGCUGGUUAUCGGUUCAAGAACGUAAGCUGUCCCUGCUUUUUUAGAGUAAGAAGGGACAUAAAAAAUGCGUCGAGCCAAUAUUCCAAUACCAGGCGCUACGUCACUAAAGUAACUCUUUUCAUACUCCUUUAAAAUCUCAAAAGACAUUAAUCAAGAGGGUACCUGUACCAAAAAUUGACACAGGUGGGUAGAUAGACAAUACAUACGGGCAGGAGACAAGUCUCUCAAAGGAACUCGGAAAAUAUCCACGUAACUCAGGGAGAAGGGGUGCCUCCUAACAAAGGGGGCGUAGUGACUAGGACCAAGCGAAUGUUUAUAAAAAUAACAUGUCUCCACAAUGUUGAAAAACAAUGUAUGGGGUUGUCACCUACCAAGUGACGGAAAGAGAAGAAUGUUGGUUACUUGAUGAAAGGGGAGUCGGCGACCGAAGACACGGUCCAAGGCGGUGGUAACUAUAACGGUCCUAAGAUAGAGAAAUUCCUUGUUAGGUAAGUUCAAUCAUACACGAAAGAUGUAAAAAUCUAGUCACGGUCUAGGAGAGAGGCUCGGUGAAAUAGACACGUUUGUGAAGAUGCGACCUACCUACACCAGGAUAGAAAGACCCUGUGAAGCUUCAAUUUUCACUAAGAUAGGAUUUGGGCCUUUCGCGUGCAACAUAGGUGGAAGGCAAAGAAAUCCUCCAUUCGGGGGGCUUCCAACCAUCAGUUAGAUAGCACUCUAUAAGGGAUAAAAUUCUAACCUCAUGCAAGGACCUACGAAGGGACAGUCAUAGGUAGACACUUUCUAUGAAGAGUUGGUCUCCCAAAAGGUAACGGAGGCAUGCAAAGGUUUUCUCAAUCCGGAAAGAGAUUGACCCUCGAGUACAAAGAAAGAAAUGAUCUUGGCUGCAAGACCCACAUGUCGAGCGAGGACAAAAGUUGGCCUUAGUUAUCCAACAGUUCCGAGUGGAAGGUCCGUCGCUUAAUAGAUAAAAGUUACUCUAGGGAUAAUAGGCUUAUCUUUCCCAAGAACUCACAUCGACGGGAAGGUUUUGCACCUCAUUGUCGUCUCUUCGCCACCUGGGGUUGUAGUAUGUUCAAAGGGUUGGGCUGUUUUCCCACUAAAGCAGUACGUGAGCUAGGUUCAGAAUGUCAUGACACAGUUCGGUCCAUAUCUAGUGUGGGUGUUAGAGCAUUGAGAGGACCUUUCCCUAGUACGAGAGGACCAAAAAGGAGGCACUUAUGGUGUACCAGUUAUCCUUCCCAUGUAAACUCUUGGUAGUCAAGUGCAAAACGAAUAACUGUUGAAAGCAUCUAAGUAGUAAGCCAACCCCAAGAUCAUUGUUCUCUUAUUCUUACAUCCCCAUAGCUUCCUGUAGGAGCGCCAAGAUAGCAAAGGGUUCUCUGGCCUUGCGAGUAUGGAGGGACAAGAUUUCUUUGGAGAAUUCAAGAGAAGGUCACAGUGAGAGGAGUCAUUUAACAUUACGAUAGAU